rnacentral:rRNA from 1 species
UUAAGCGACUAAGCGUACACGGUGGAUGCCCUGGCAGUCAGAGGCGAUGAAGGGCGUGCUAAUCUGCGAUAAGCGCCGGUAAGGUGAUAUGAACCGUUAUAACCGGCGAUACCCGAAUGGGGAAACCCAGUGUGACUCGUCACACUAUCAUUAACUGAAUCCAUAGGUUAAUGAGGCGAACCGGGGGAACUGAAACAUCUAAGUACCCCGAGGAAAAGAAAUCAACCGAGAUUCCCCCAGUAGCGGCGAGCGAACGGGGAGGAGCCCAGAGCCUGAAUCAGCAUGUGUGUUAGUGGAAGCGUCUGGAAAGGCGCGCGAUACAGGGUGACAGCCCCGUACACAAAAGCGCAUGUGCUGUGAGCUCGAUGAGUAGGGCGGGACACGUGGUAUCCUGUCUGAAUAUGGGGGGACCAUCCUCCAAGGCUAAAUACUCCUGACUGACCGAUAGUGAACCAGUACCGUGAGGGAAAGGCGAAAAGAACCCCGGCGAGGGGAGUGAAAAAGAACCUGAAACCGUGUACGUACAAGCAGUGGGAGCACCCUUUUGGGUGUGACUGCGUACCUUUUGUAUAAUGGGUCAGCGACUUAUAUUCUGUAGCAAGGUUAACCGAAUAGGGGAGCCGUAGGGAAACCGAGUCUUAACCGGGCGUUAAGUUGCAGGGUAUAGACCCGAAACCCGGUGAUCUAGCCAUGGGCAGGUUGAAGGUUGGGUAACACUAACUGGAGGACCGAACCGACUAAUGUUGAAAAAUUAGCGGAUGACCUGUGGCUGGGGGUGAAAGGCCAAUCAAACCGGGAGAUAGCUGGUUCUCCCCGAAAGCUAUUUAGGUAGCGCCUCGUGAAUUCAUCUCCGGGGGUAGAGCACUGUUUCGGCUAGGGGGCCAUCCCGGCUUACCAACCCGAUGCAAACUGCGAAUACCGGAGAAUGUUAUCACGGGAGACACACGGCGGGUGCUAACGUCCGUCGUGAAGAGGGAAACAACCCAGACCGCCAGCUAAGGUCCCAAAGUCAUGGUUAAGUGGGAAACGAUGUGGGAAGGCCCAGACAGCCAGGAUGUUGGCUUAGAAGCAGCCAUCAUUUAAAGAAAGCGUAAUAGCUCACUGGUCGAGUCGGCCUGCGCGGAAGAUGUAACGGGGCUAAACCAUGCACCGAAGCUGCGGCAGCGACGCUUAUGCGUUGUUGGGUAGGGGAGCGUUCUGUAAGCCUGUGAAGGUGGCCUGUGAGGGUUGCUGGAGGUAUCAGAAGUGCGAAUGCUGAAUAAGUAACGAUAAAGCGGGUGAAAAGCCCGCUCGCCGGAAGACCAAGGGUUCCUGUCCAACGUUAAUCGGGGCAGGGUGAGUCGACCCCUAAGGCGAGGCCGAAAGGCGUAGUCGAUGGGAAACGGGUUAAUAUUCCCGUACUUGGUGUUACUGCGAAGGGGGGACGGAGAAGGCUAUGUUGGCCGGGCGACGGUUGUCCCGGUUUAAGCGUGUAGGUGUGUGUUCCAGGUAAAUCCGGUUCACUUUAACACUGAGGCGUGAUGACGAGGCACUACGGUGCUGAAGCAACAAAUGCCCUGCUUCCAGGAAAAGCCUCUAAGCAUCAGGUAACAUCAAAUCGUACCCCAAACCGACACAGGUGGUCAGGUAGAGAAUACCAAGGCGCUUGAGAGAACUCGGGUGAAGGAACUAGGCAAAAUGGUGCCGUAACUUCGGGAGAAGGCACGCUGACACGUAGGUGAAGUGAUUUACUCACGGAGCUGAAGUCAGUCGAAGAUACCAGCUGGCUGCAACUGUUUAUUAAAAACACAGCACUGUGCAAACACGAAAGUGGACGUAUACGGUGUGACGCCUGCCCGGUGCCGGAAGGUUAAUUGAUGGGGUCAGCGCAAGCGAAGCUCCUGAUCGAAGCCCCGGUAAACGGCGGCCGUAACUAUAACGGUCCUAAGGUAGCGAAAUUCCUUGUCGGGUAAGUUCCGACCUGCACGAAUGGCGUAAUGAUGGCCAGGCUGUCUCCACCCGAGACUCAGUGAAAUUGAACUCGCUGUGAAGAUGCAGUGUACCCGCGGCAAGACGGAAAGACCCCGUGAACCUUUACUAUAGCUUGACACUGAACAUUGAGCCUUGAUGUGUAGGAUAGGUGGGAGGCUUUGAAGUGUGGACGCCAGUCUGCAUGGAGCCGACCUUGAAAUACCACCCUUUAAUGUUUGAUGUUCUAACGUGGACCCGUAAUCCGGGUUGCGGACAGUGUCUGGUGGGUAGUUUGACUGGGGCGGUCUCCUCCUAAAGAGUAACGGAGGAGCACGAAGGUUGGCUAAUCCUGGUCGGACAUCAGGAGGUUAGUGCAAUGGCAUAAGCCAGCUUGACUGCGAGCGUGACGGCGCGAGCAGGUGCGAAAGCAGGUCAUAGUGAUCCGGUGGUUCUGAAUGGAAGGGCCAUCGCUCAACGGAUAAAAGGUACUCCGGGGAUAACAGGCUGAUACCGCCCAAGAGUUCAUAUCGACGGCGGUGUUUGGCACCUCGAUGUCGGCUCAUCACAUCCUGGGGCUGAAGUAGGUCCCAAGGGUAUGGCUGUUCGCCAUUUAAAGUGGUACGCGAGCUGGGUUUAGAACGUCGUGAGACAGUUCGGUCCCUAUCUGCCGUGGGCGCUGGAGAACUGAGGGGGGCUGCUCCUAGUACGAGAGGACCGGAGUGGACGCAUCACUGGUGUUCGGGUUGUCAUGCCAAUGGCACUGCCCGGUAGCUAAAUGCGGAAGAGAUAAGUGCUGAAAGCAUCUAAGCACGAAACUUGCCCCGAGAUGAGUUCUCCCUGAGACUUAGAGUCUCCUGAAGGAACGUUGAAGACGACGACGUUGAUAGGCCGGGUGUGUAAGCGCAGCGAUGCGUUGAGCUAACCGGUACUAAUGAACCGUGAGGCUUAACCUU